AAAUUUUCCAUCAUUUUUUUCCUAGGUAAUUAUUUUUACUAAAAAUUAAAAUUGUGCAGAUUUGGGUUCACCCACUUCCCUCCAUUAUUUCCCACCAUUUUUUUCAAAUACUUUUCACUAUAGAGUUUGGGUUUAAUUCUAAUUUCAUAAUUAAACCGCACAUUCUAAUUCGGUCACUGUUUGAACUACUGCCAGAAGAUUCGAGGUCACCUUGUUGGCCAUUGGGUUGGAUUUCGAUUACUUCUCCUUGCUGAUUCAGACAGUUCUUUUCAUAUUAAGGCUUUUACAAGGAUUUUACCGGGUGGGUGGUCACAAUAUUGGUGCCGGAGGAGAAGAAAUAGUUGGUGGCGGUGAAGCCGGAGCCGAAGAUUGAGUUUGUGGCACUGGAGCCAUAGCAGGCGCUUGAGCAAAAGUGCAAGUGAAUUGAGGCAAGAAAAGAAAGGAAGCAUCUCUUGGUAGACCAAUCACUCGUGGAGAGAAACGUAAGAAAGACCCAUAUGAAAAUUAGAGAUGGAAAGAAGUUUGGGUCGAAACACGAGCAUAAGAUACUUGCCAAUUGAAGAACUCAAAAGAAGUCAAUCGACAGAUGACCAAGGCAAUCCAAUCAUGCCAUCAGAGGAAGAAACUCUCUUCUGCUAGAUGGAUGUAGUUGGUGACAUGUGUAAGGAAAGGGCAUAACGCCUUUGCUUUGAGAAGAACUUUUACCGUCUUCAGUGUGGAUUGCAAGGUAUAGAGAGUUCUGCCACCAUGUCAGAUGAGCAGCUUGAGGAGAUGCGAUAGAAAGUUCAGGAGCAUUCUAGGAAGUAUGAGAGGAAAGAAAAAGAAGGAUUGAGGAGAAGCGGGGUAGGACGACAUUUAAGUCAGACGUCAAAGAACUCAAGGCUCAAGUAAAUAUCUUAGUCAAGCUUCCUCGCUCUCCGCCCCUAGCUCUGAUGAUGAUGGUGGAGAGGAUGAGGAUGGAAUGGAGUAUUAGGUUAUGUUGUUGUUUUAGGUUUGAAUUAUGUUAGGUUGGAAUGUUUGGUAAUUGUUUGCGUACUUUUUUUAUACUUGUUUACAUAUUAUUUAAGUUGGAUGAAUA